AACGGCAAAGAAAAUAAACAACACGAGUAAAUCUCGAAAUGGCCUUCCACCGCUGGAGACAGCUCCUGAGAGUAAAGACAUGCGGUUUGAUGCCGAGCUCGCAACUUUCCUGUUAGCUUGGACCAGAAGUCCAGUCUAAUCACCAAUGAUGGACCAGCACCAGCCUUUUCUUCUGCAUCUGGCCUCAUCAAUCAUCAACCACAUUACAUCAACACCUUGAGGGACGGCAGAAUCCACUUCGGGCCAGAACCACACCUUGCCCUGCAAGAAAUGGUAAGUCAUGUGCAUGACUCGACCCAUACAUAUAGGCUCAAAAUGAUUCUUAGCUUGUAAAGUGACCUUAAUAAAUAAUUCCAAUGUUUGUAGUUUAACAUUUGU